UGAAUACGAGAUGCUACGGCGUCGAAGCAGUGUAUGUCAGACUUCCAAGAAAAGCUCGCAAUGUCAUAAAUAAAGAAUGCCUGUACCAUAACCGACACAGGUGGGUAGGUAGAGUAUACUAAGGGGCGCGAGAUAACUCUCUCUAAGGAACUCGGCAAAAUAACUCCGUAACUUCGGGAGAAGGAGUGCCUUCUUUAAGAAGGUUGCAAUAACAAGAUCCAAGCAACUGUUUAUCAAAAACACAGGUCUCCGCUAAGUCGUAAGACGAUGUAUGGGGGCUGACGCCUGCCCAGUGCCAGAAGGUUAAAGAAGUUGGUUAGCUUUUGCGAAGCUGAUGACUGAAGCCCUGGUGAACGGCGGCCGUAACGAUAACGGUCCUAAGGUAGCGAAAUUCCUUGUCGGGUAAGUUCCGACCCGCACGAAAGGCGUAAUGAUUUGGAUACUGUCUCGGAGAGGGACUCGGUGAAAUAGACUUGUCUGUGAAGAUGCGGACUACCUGCACCAGGACAGAAAGACCCUAUGAAGCUUUACUGUAACUUGAAAUUGAAAUUGGACUUUAUUUGCGCAGUAUAGGUGGAAGGCGUUGAAAGUAAUCUUGCGGGAUUAGUGGAGCCAUCAGUGAGAUACCACUCCUAUAAUGUUAGAUUUCUAACUUUGGAUCAUGAUCUGGUCAAAGAACAGUUUCAGGCGGGCAGUUUGACUGGGGCGGUCGCCUCCCAAAUGGUAACGGAGGCGUACAAAGGUUUCCUCUGAACGGGUAGAAAUCGUAUCUAGAGUGUAAAGGCAUAAGGAAGCUUGACUGUGAGACCUACAAGUCGAGCAGGGACGAAAGUCGGUCUUAGUGAUCUGACGGUGCUGAGUGGAAAGGCCGUCACUCAACGGAUAAAAGUUACUCUAAGGAUAACAGGCUGAUCUCCCCCAAGAGUUCACAUCGACGGGGAGGUUUGGCACCUCGAUGUCGGCUCAUCGCAUCCUGGAGCGGUAGUACGUCCCAAGGGUUGGGCUGUUCGCCCAUGAAAGCGGUACGCGAGCUGGGUUCAGAACGUCGUGAGACAGUUCGGUCCAUAUCCGGUGUAGGCGUUAGAAUAUUGAGAGGAGCCUUCUUUAGUACGAGAGGACCGAGAAGGACAUACCUCUGGUGUACCAGUUAUCGUGCCAACGGUAAACGCUGGGUAGCUAUGUAUGGAGAGGAUAACCGCCGAAAGCAUCUAAGUGGGAAGCCCACCUCAAGAUGAG
rnacentral:rRNA from 1 species